UACGUAGGGGGCAAGCGUUGUCCGGAUUUAUUGGGCGUAAAGAGCGUGUAGGCGGCCAGGUAGGUCAGCUGUGAAAACUCGAGGCUCAACCUCGAGACGUCGGUUGAAACCACCUGGCUAGAGUCCGGAAGAGGAGAGUGGAAUUCCUGGUGUAGCGGUGAAAUGCGCAGAUAUCGGGAGGAACACCGGUGGCGAAGGCGGUUCUCUGGGCCUUACCUGACGCUGAGGAGCGAAAGCGUGGGGAGCGAACAGG
rnacentral:rRNA from 1 species